rnacentral:rRNA from 1 species
GAUGAACGCUGGCGGCGUGCCUAAUACAUGCAAGUCGAGCGAAUGGAUUAAGAGCUUGCUCUUAUGAAGUUAGCGGCGGACGGGUGAGUAACACGUGGGUAACCUGCCUUCAAGAUAGGGAUAACAUUGAGAAAUCGGUGCUAAUACCUGAUAUGCCCACAGAGCCGAGUGGCUUAGGGGGGAAAGAUUUAUCGCUUGAAGAUGGACUCGCGUCCCAUUAGCUAGUUGGUGAGAUAAAAGCUUACCAAGGCGACGAUGGGUAGCCGGACUGAGAAGUUGAACGGCCACACUGGGACUGAGAACGGCCCAGACUCCUACGGGAGGCAGCAGUGGGGAAUAUUGGGCAAUGGGCGAAAGCCUGACCCAGCAAUGCCGCGUGAACGAAGAAGGUCUUCGGAUUGUAAAGUUCUGUCCUAUGAGAAGAAGUCAGUGACGGUAUCAUAGGAGGAAGCCCCGGCUAACUACGUGCCAGCCGCCGCAGUAACAC